AUUGAACGCUGGCGGCAUGCCUUACACAUGCAAGUCGAACGGUAACAGGUCUUCGGAUGCUGACGAGUGGCGAACGGGUGAGUAAUACAUCGGAACGUGCCCGAUCGUGGGGGAUAACGCAGCGAAAGCUGUGCUAAUACCGCAUACGAUCUACGGAUGAAAGCGGGGGAUCUUCGGACCUCGCGCGGACGGAGCGGCCGAUGGCAGAUUAGGUAGUUGGUGGGGGAAAGGCUUACCAAGCCUACGAUCUGUAGCUGGUCUGAGAGGACGACCAGCCACACUGGGACUGAGACACGGCCCAGACUCCUACGGGAGGCAGCAGUGGGGAAUUUUGGACAAUGGGCGAAAGCCUGAUCCAGCAAUGCCGCGUGCAGGAAGAAGGCCUUCGGGUUGUAAACUGCUUUUGUACGGAACGAAAAGGAUCUCUCUAAUACAGGGGUCUGAUGACGGUACCGUAAGAAUAAGCACCGGCUAACUACGUGCCAGCAGCCGCGGUAAGAC
rnacentral:rRNA from 1 species